UAGGACACUCUAUACGGAGUUACAAAGGACGACAUUAGACGAAUCAUCUGGAAAGAUGAAUCAAAGAAGGUAAUAAUCCUGUAGUCGAAAAUGUUGUCUCUCUUGAGUGGAUCCUGAGUACGACGGAGCACGUGAAAUUCCGUCGGAAUCUGGGAGGACCAUCUCCUAAGGCUAAAUACUCUCUAGUGACCGAUAGUGAACCAGUACCGUGAGGGAAAGGUGAAAAGCACCCCGGAAGGGGAGUGAAAUAGAACCUGAAACCGUGUGCUUACAAGUAGUCAGAGCCCGUUAAUGGGUGAUGGCGUGCCUUUUGUAGAAUGAACCGGCGAGUUACGAUUUGAUGCAAGGUUAAGCAGUAAAUGUGGAGCCGUAGCGAAAGCGAGUCUGAAUAGGGCGUUUAGUAUUUGGUCGUAGACCCGAAACCAGGUGAUCUACCCUUGGUCAGGUUGAAGUUCAGGUAACACUGAAUGGAGGACCGAACCGACUUACGUUGAAAAGUGAGCGGAUGAACUGAGGGUAGCGGAGAAAUUCCAAUCGAACCUGGAGAUAGCUGGUUCUCUCCGAAAUAGCUUUAGGGCUAGCCUCAAGUGAUGAUUAUUGGAGGUAGAGCACUGUUUGGACGAGGGGCCCCUCUCGGGUUACCGAAUUCAGACAAACUCCGAAUGCCAAUUAAUUUAACUUGGGAGUCAGAACAUGGGUGAUAAGGUCCGUGUUCGAAAGGGAAACAGCCCAGACCACCAGCUAAGGUCCCAAAAUAUAUGUUAAGUGGAAAAGGAUGUGGCGUUGCCCAGACAACUAGGAUGUUGGCUUAGAAGCAGCCAUCAUUUAAAGAGUGCGUAAUAGCUCACUAGUCGAGUGACACUGCGCCGAAAAUGUACCGGGGCUAAACAUAUUACCGAAGCUGUGGAUUGUCCUUUGGACAAUGGUAGGAGAGCGUUCUAAGGGCGUUGAAGCAUGAUCGUAAGGACAUGUGGAGCGCUUAGAAGUGAGAAUGCCGGUGUGAGUAGCGAAAGACGGGUGAGAAUCCCGUCCACCGAUUGACUAAGGUUUCCAGAGGAAGGCUCGUCCGCUCUGGGUUAGUCGGGUCCUAAGCUGAGGCCGACAGGCGUAGGCGAUGGAUAACAGGUUGAUAUUCCUGUACCACCUAUAAUCGUUUUAAUCGAUGGGGGGACGCAGUAGGAUAGGCGAAGCGUGCGAUUGGAUUGCACGUCUAAGCAGUAAGGCUGAGUAUUAGGCAAAUCCGGUACUCGUUAAGGCUGAGC
rnacentral:rRNA from 1 species